GGGAAGGUGGCUCAGUGGUAGAGUGAUUGCCUUGCAUGCAUGAGGUCCUGGGUUCGAUCUCUCAGCUGACAUA
rfam:Dipodomys ordii contig_62454, whole genome shotgun sequence.